UAGGGAAUCUUCCGCAAUGGACGCAAGUCUGACGGAGCAACGCCGCGUGAGUGAAGAAGGAUUUCGGUUCGUAAAACUCUGUUGUUAGAGAAGAACAGCGCAUAGAGUAACUGUUAUGCGUGUGACGGUAUCUAACCAGAAAGCCACGGCUAACUACGUGCCAGCAGCCGCGGUAAUACGUAGGUGGCAAGCGUUGUCCGGAUUUAUUGGGCGUAAAGCGAGCGCAGGCGGUCAAUUAAGUCUGAUGUGAAAGCCCCCGGCUCAACCGGUGAGGGUCAUUGGAAACUAGUUGACUUGAGUGCAGAAGAAGAGAGUGGAAUUUCAUGUGUAGCGGUGAAAUGCGUAGAUAUAUGGAGGAACACCAGUGGCGAAGGCGACUCACUAGUAUAUAACUAACGCUAAGGCUCGAAAGCGUAGGUAGCAAACAGG
rnacentral:rRNA from 1 species